AAGGACCAUUCUGGAUUCUGGGGGUAAAAUUCAACCUAAAGGAAGAAAUAAAGACGCAAAAAGAACUAAAAACAAAAACAAGAAUUAAAAAACUUAGAGUUCAAAGGAAAAGGAUAAUUCUCAGUACACCACGUUUCCAAACUUACUCUCCAUAUAUCUAGAAUUCCUAUGGUGUUCUACAAGAGAAAACGGACAAAUGAGAGUAACAGGUAACCGAAAGUCAGAUGUAAAAGCCAGAAGACCUUCUCAGUUGCAUACCAAAAGGUUCUCAUUUCCCACAAGAAGAAGGCAGAGAAAGAGAAGACCAAGCCCAGAAUUUAACUGUCACAGUAACUGAACCAAAGCAGAGUGGACUCCAUCACAUGCAGCUUUGAAGUCUGACCAAUAUCAACAUCAAGAUGUUAUUCAAAUACAAAGAAAACAUUCAGAGAUCUUCAAAUUUUAAAGAAUACAGAGAUGACAAAAGACAUUACUGCAUCUUGCCAAUCAGCUAUUUAAGAGAUUAUCCAAACUAAAGAAUUGGAAGAUGAAAAAUCCACAGUAUAAAAACAAAUAAAAACAAAAACAAAACACAAGAUUGGUGGCAAA